rnacentral:rRNA from 1 species
AUUGAACGCUGGCGGCCGGCUUAACACAUGCAAGUCGAACGAGUGGCGGACGGGUGAGUAAUGCCUGGGAAACUGCCUGAUGGAGGGGGAUAACUACUGGAAACGGUAGCUAAUACCGCAUACCAUCGGAUGUGCCCAGAUGGGAUUAGCUCGUAGGUGGGGUAAAGGCUCACCUAGGCGACGAUCCCUAGCUGGUCUGAGAGGAUGACCAGCCACACUGGAACUGAGACACGGGCCAUACUCCUACGGUAGGCAGCAGUGGGGAAUAUUGCACAAUGGGCGCAAGCAUGAUGCAGCCAUGCCGCGUGUAUGAAGAAGGCCGUCGGGUUGUAAAGUACUUGAAGCAGUGAGGCGUUACCCGCAGAAGAAGCACCGGCUAACUCCGUGCCAGCCGCCGCGGUAAUAC